rnacentral:rRNA from 1 species
GACGAACGCUGGCGGCGUGCUUAACACAUGCAAGUCGAACGAAGUGGCGAACGGGUGAGUAACGCGUAAUCAACCUGCCCUUCAGAGGGGGACAACAGUUGGAAACGACUGCUAAUACCGCAUACUGAAGGAGGGGAUUGCGUCUGAUUAGCUAGUUGGAGGGGUAACGCCCCACCAAGGCGAUGAUCAGUAGCGGGUCGGGAGGGAGGACCGGCCAAAUGGGGACUGGGACACGGCCCAGACUCCUCGGGGGGGCAGCAGUGGGGAAUCUUCCGCAUUGGACGAAAGUCUGACGGAGCAAUGCCGCGUGAGUGAUGACGGCCUUCGGGUUGUAAAGCUCUGUUAUUAGGGAAGCGGUACCUAAUCAGAAAGCCACGGCUAACUACGUGCCAGCAGCCGCGGUAAUC